CGUCUAUAUACGUAUAGCAUAUCAAUAAGCGGAGGAAAAGAAACUAACUAGGAUUCCCUCAGUAACGGCGAGUGAGGCGGGAAGAGCUCAAAUUUGAAAUCUUCAAGGUUCUACCUUGACGAAUUGUAGUUUAAAGAAGUGUUUUCUGUUGGAGUUUUGGUAAAAGUUCUUUGGAAUAGGACAUCAUAGAGGGUGAGAAUCCCGUAUUUGACCAUUAUUUCCAACUUUGUGAUACACUUUCAAAGAGUCGGAUUGUUUGGGAAUGCAGUCCAAAAUGGGUGGUAAAUUUCAUCUAAAGCUAAAUACUGGCGAGAGACCGAUAGCGAACAAGUACCGUGAGGGAAAGAUGAAAAGAACUUUGAAAAGAGAGUUAAACAGUACGUGAAAUUGUCAAAAGGGAAGCGUUUGACACCAGUGUUGUUUUCUCGAAAAUCAAUUAAAAAUGCAUGGAUUUUGUGUUGUAUUGACUUUAUCAGCUUUCUGCACUUUUUUCUUGUCUUUUUUAAUGCACUUUUCGUUUAACAAGUCAACAUCAAUUUCUUUUGCUGUAAAAGGGUCAUUGGAAGGUGGCUUUCUUUUCGGAGAAAGUGUUUAUAGCCUUUGACUUCUGCAGUCGGAGAGAUUGAGGUCUGCAGCGUAGAUCCUUUGGGGUUAGAUGCAUUUGUGCUAAGUUAUAGCCUUUCAUAGACAACUUGUUGACUAUGAUCAGUCAUGUAGCUUACUCGCUUAUGUCAUUUUACCUACGCUUAGGAUGUUGACGAUCAGCUGAGCGCG
rnacentral:rRNA from 1 species